UGGGGGAUAUUGCACAAUGGGGGAAACCCUGAUGCAGCGACGCCGCGUGAGUGAAGAAGUCAUUCGUGAUGUAAAGCUCUAUCAGCAGGGAAGAAAAUGACGGUACCUGACUAAGAAGCCCCGGCUAACUACGUGCCAGCAGCCGCGGUAAUACGUAGGGGGCAAGCGUUAUCCGGAUUUACUGGGUGUAAAGGGAGCGUAGACGGCCAGGCAAGUCUGGAGUGAAAGCCCGGGGCUCAACCCCGGGACUGCUUUGGAAACUGUAGGGCUGGAGUGCAGGAGGGGUAAGCGGAAUUCCUAGUGUAGCGGUGAAAUGCGUAGAUAUUAGGAGGAACACCGGUGGCGAAGGCGGCUUACUGGACUGCAACUGACGUUGAGGCUCGAAGGCGUGGGGAGCAAACAGG
rnacentral:rRNA from 1 species